CAUUACUGAGUCGUAAAAAACUCCCAACCCAUGUGAAUUUACCUUUGUUGCCUCGGCGGGACCUACCUGGUACCUACCCUGUAGCCCGCCGGUGGACUAUUAAACUCUUGUUAUUUUAUAUAUAUCUGAGCGUCUUAUUAAAUAAGUCAAAACUUUUAACAACGGAUCUCUUGGUUCUGGCAUCGAUGAAGAACGCAGCGAAAUGCGAUAAGUAAUGUGAAUUGCAGAAUUCAGUGAAUCAUCGAAUCUUUGAACGCACAUUGCGCCCAUUAGUAUUCUAUUGGGCAUGCCUGUUCGAGCGUCAUUUCAACCCUUAAGCUCAGCUUAGUGUUGGGAAUCUACCGUGAGCGGUGUUACCCGGUACCUACCCUAUAACGGGGCCAGGUUACCCUGUAGCUACCCUGUAGUUCCUCAAAUCCAACGGCGGAGUCAUAGUCAUCUCUGAGCGCAGUAAUUUUUAUCACGCUUUUGAAAAUGCUAUAACUUUAGCCGCUAAACCCCCAAUUUUUUAAUGGUUGACCUCGGAUCAGGUAGGAAUACCC
rnacentral:rRNA from 1 species